AUUGAACGCUGGCGGCAUGCCUAACACAUGCAAGUCGAACGGUAACGCGGGGGCAACCCUGGCGACGAGUGGCGGACGGGUGAGUAAUACAUCGGAACGUGCCCAGUAGUGGGGGAUAGCCCGGCGAAAGCCGGAUUAAUACCGCAUACGACCUACGGGUGAAAGCGGGGGAUCGCAAGACCUCGCGCUAUUGGAGCGGCCGAUGUCAGAUUAGCUAGUUGGUGGGGUAAAAGCCUACCAAGGCGACGAUCUGUAGCUGGUCUGAGAGGACGACCAGCCACACUGGGACUGAGACACGGCCCAGACUCCUACGGGAGGCAGCAGUGGGGAAUUUUGGACAAUGGGGGCAACCCUGAUCCAGCCAUGCCGCGUGCGGGAAGAAGGCCUUCGGGUUGUAACC
rnacentral:rRNA from 1 species